CAAACUUCAUCUCUGGCUCAUACUUCUUUGAGUUUCUAGCCCAUAUAUUCACAGGCCUAUCUGACAGCUAACCUGCUUAUCUCAAAGGCAUCUCAAACUAGUUUCUCCUGGAAGGGGCUCUGGUAUCCUGCAGGCGGGUUACGGUGGAGGCAGGUAAGACAGGAGGCCGCUGCUGUACUCACCAGACACUCUGCUCCUCCGGGGCCUGGCCACCGGCAGACGCUGACUGCUGUCUCUGCGCAGCAUCAGCUGAGAUUCGCUAGGGGGAUACAUCGAUGCCGAGAUCCAGAACUGCUUAGCCAAGUUGGCAUCUUGUUCUGAGGAGCCGGCAAAUACCAGUAAUCCCGGGGAGCAGAUUUCCUGGGACUCCUUUUGGCCGCUAGGUUCUUCACCAGGUCCCGUUUCCAUGGCAACUGAGGACGCUUCUCCAAGCGUCCUCGCCCCUCCCCCGCCCCGCCCCUCCCAGAAGCGCCAAUUUGACACCGGCCACUGCCCGCAGCCCUCGAUUUCCUAUAGGCAGGUGUUGGUGUCCGCCACGCGCGUGGGGCCAUCAGAAAGCCCACCCCUGCGGUGAUCAGGUUUCGGGACCAGUCCAAACCUUGGAGACGGUAUGGGAGAGUCAAAACAACUUUGGGAUGUGUCCUGUCUUGUCGGAGUCAGUGGGGGAGUACUUUAGCUUCUUAUAUCCUCAGUCGGCAUGCCACAUCCUCUCCCCUUCCCCCAGAGAUAGGUAAAUAAACUUCAGAUUCUUCAGCCCCGUCAACCAAAUGCCCCUUUCCAAACCAGAUUGCCAGGCACAGCACCUGCUAGGUGGAAUUUCUGAGAACGUUGCUUGGAGAAUUCAUGGCGGGCUGAAAGCCUAGCCGUUGGAGCUAGAGGCUUGAACUGGGUAGAUACAUGCCCAUGCGUAUAGUUUCUGUGAUUUAAAAAUUCUGAAACCUUUAAGACAAAUCUUAGGAAAUAAGCUGGAAUUUUAAAAGUGUAACUGCAUUGACUAAUCACUCCCAUUAGAAGUUGCCUAGACUGCGGCAGUCGUAAAUGAUUAAAGAAGGGAUAUGUCUUAAUGAGUGGACAGUCGCUUCACGGAAAAAUAAAGUAUGAAAAAUUUUGUUAGUGUAUUCUUAUAAAAGUAUUAACAAGUGUGUGUG